rnacentral:rRNA from 1 species
UACGUAGGGGGCAAGCGUUGUCCGGAUUCAUUGGGCGUAAAGAGCGUGUAGGCGGCCAGGUAGGUCGGUUGUGAAAACUGGAGGCUCAACCUUCAGAGGUCGACCGAAACCAUCUGGCUAGAGUCCGGGAGAGGAGAGUGGAAUUCCUGGUGUAGCGGUGAAAUGCGCAGAUAUCAGGAAGAACACCCGUGGCGAAAGCGGCUCUCUGGGCAUUAACUGACGCUGAGGAGCGAAAGCAUGGGGAGCGAACAGG